GGCGGGGCGGGACCGGCCGGAGCUGGGACCCCAGGAGACGAGCGCUGCACCCGGCCGGGACGCGUCGCCCCUCCGCGCCUGUUUAUCCCGGCUCGGAUUACCGCGCAGGGAGCCGCCCCCUCCCGCGGUCCGCGAGGACUGGCCGGGAGCUCGCUCGCCAUUGUCCUGGGCGUCCCAAAGCGGGCGGUCCCCGCUCCGCUGCUCCCGCGCCUGGAGGAAGCCUUCCCAACCCCGCCCCUCAGCGUCGGCCGGCGGAGGUCUUCGGAAAUCUCAUGCAGGGGGGUAGGGAGAGGGGUCCCACGGUGCAUUCGCAUGUCUCCUGCCCCGUGUUAAUGCUGGUGACCGGCUAGGAAGAUGCCGCCUCCCUCUCACGUGCGUCUAUUCAAAGCGCUCCCAACUCUAUACAUGCUGUUUAAGGCUCCUUGUAGCCCUAAAGUUAGGAGAACAUCGACUGAGGAUAAGAUCAAGACAUCCAGCCUCUGUCUGUAUCGUGGAAACGGGACCCCGGAAACUUUGGAAAGGCCUGAGUGCCAAGAGAGUCAACGCAGGCGAAAGCGAACCGGGCCAGGCAGAACCGGGAGCUCCUGUUGAUAAAAACACACACAACAGUGGGAAGCUUGGGCCGGCGGAAGACGUCAUUCCAUUGCUUAAUUACAGACAUUUGUGUUUUAAACCUUCUAUUUUCUUUGUGGGUCUGGUGUUUUUUUUCCUGAGAGAGUGGACUGAUCAGCAAACAUUUCAACUGCUAGAACAUGACUUUCACAACUUUUCAACAGUGUUCGAAGUACAGUUUGGGGUGUCUGGUUCCCUUGAUUAGGUUUGUAAAGCUAUUUUACGGAGUCUAGGUCUUUCCUGGUUAUAUUUUGUUUUUGUUUUUCUGUGUUUUGAGACGGAGUCUCCCUCUGUCGCCCAGGC
rnacentral:lncRNA from 1 species